AUAUAUGCAUAUGUGUGUUUUCCCCAUUUAUAACAACUAUGUAAAAUAUGCUGGGUUGGAAGAUUUGGACCUCUCAUCAUCAUCCUGGGAAUGUUCCAGAAACGUCAGUGACUGGUGGCAGUGGGCCAAGGACAAACUCUCAGGAGCCAAGGACAAACCAGACACACUGAAGAAAGGCAGCUUUAAAACUCUGCAAGGGGCCCAGAAGACAGCUACAGCAUGACUAAGGGAAACUUCAUGAGGAUCCCACUAAUUGAAGAAAUGGACUUCCAGUUGUAGUGUUGGCAGAUUGCUGCAGACCGUGUUGACUUUGAAGAAGACAGCUAGAAAGAGGAAAGACCCUACACACAAGCAAAAGUCUUUGGCAAAUCUUAUUGAUGAGAUAGCAUGCCAUUCUGCUGCUUGGGCAACAUGCUGCCAUAUCUAGAGACCCAGCAUGGAGAUAUAUUGACAUCUGAUGUUCUGGCGGCACAAGUUCCAGGUCAAACUAAAGGACUGCAAACUCAUCAACUGAUCCAUUCUACCUUGAAGUAGUGGACUGGGUUCAACGUGGAGGUAAUUUUCAAUUUCAGGCCCUAACUACAGAAGGUCAGGAUAAGUUUCUAGUAAUGAGUCACCAGAAUGUAUUUCAUCCACAAAUGUAGUAGCUGUGGUCACUGAAAGUUGUUUAAUUUCCAUAGAAUUGCAAUAUUCAAGGGGAAUGGAAGACAUCAAGAUACUAGAAUAAACAAAAUGCUGAGCAGAUGAGGUUUUUGAUUCUUUGUAACAAGUUUAAAGAAAUUCCUUGAAAGGUCCUUGAAAUUCUACUUCAAACAUUGCUGAAAGUUACAUCAUUUGGCCAACUUGCAGUACAGUCACCUGAGUCAGGGUGGCUAAUUUUAAGAAUAACAUCCUGAUUACACGGGUAAGAGUCAAGCUGAGAACAAUGACAGGUCCCAUAGAUAGCACCUUCUAUCAUUCAUUAAAAGGAAUUAGAACUUUUUCUGGGAGCUAGAUACAGAAGAAAUCUGAGGCUUUAUAAUACUUGAUCUAGCCAUAUUUCUUCAAAGGUACCAAACCAACAUCUUCAGCUUUAAUAUUUCUGUACCAUGACUUCCCAAUUUUUCAAAAGGCAAUAAUACUUGCCUUACUGUGAUGCAAAGUGAAUUGUUAAUAAAUGGUAUAUAGCAGAAUUGUAAUACCAUGCGUUUAAGAAGACAGUGUAACAUAGUGGAUAGUAUGCUGGCCUAACCUGGAAUUAGAAGCCCUGGGUUCAAAUCCCACCUUAGACACUUACUGGCUGUGUGAUCAUGGGCAAGUCGCUUAAUCUGUAAGAAACUCAAUUUCCUCAUCUACGAAAUGGGAAUAGUGAUAUGUGUAUUACCUAAAUCAUUGUUAUAAAGAAAACAUUUUUGCCAACAUUAAAAUGCUUUGUCAAGGUGAGUGAUUAUGACUACUGUAAUGUUUUAGUAUGGUGUGGCACAGUACGUAUUGUGAAAAUGGAACAAUAGGUCAGAAACUAAGGGGCUAUGAGUUCUACCUUAAGCUUUGCCACUUAUAGAUUGUAACUUGCUUUAUGUCUCUCAGUAUCUUCACCUGUAUGGUGAUGAGGAGCACUACCAACCUUUCACACCUGGUAGAUAUGAAGAAAAAGUCUUAGAAAUGAUGUAGAUUUUUAUCAAAUGACCUCAAUAAAGCAUCCUGCAGGGAAAAGGCAUUGCUCUUCCUUCCCUCUGACCAAAGAAACAACAUAGGCAAAUAUAUGAUAGAUUUGUAGCUAUUAAUGGGACUGAUCUUCCCAUAUGGAUGGUGUUAAACUGCUCAUUUUGGAAAUGUACAUUCGGUCAUACAAGUCACUUCCAUGUGCUGAAAGUAUUCAUUUAUUAAAGGCAUGUGAGUGAGCUGAAAGACCCAACAUAACACCUUCAUACUGUGGGCAGUUUUCUACCCUAUUAAGGUCCCAGGUCCCACUU